rnacentral:rRNA from 1 species
UACGGAAGGGGCAAGCGUUGUCCGGAAUUAUUGGGCGUAAAGCGCUCGUCGGCGGUCUGUCGCGUCUGGUGUGAAAUCCCGAGGCUCAACCUCGGGCUUGCAUCGGGUACGGGCAGACUAGAGUGCGGUAGGGGAGACUGGAAUUCCUGGUGUAGCGGUGGAAUGCGCAGAUAUCAGGAGGAACACCGAUGGCGAAGGCAGGUCUCUGGGCCGCAACUGACGCUGAGGAGCGAAAGCAUGGGGAGCGAACAGG